AGAUCGUCAUCACACAGAUAUUCGGUAUCUAUCGGUUCAGAUAUGGUGACGUCAUCAGGGUUAGGCGUUAUCACUUGAAUACACCUGUAGUUGAAUUCAUGUAUAGAUCAGGCCAGAUGCUCAACGUGAAAUAUGAGAAACUUGAUCAAAGCAUUGUGAAGGAAGCCAUAGAGGCUGCAGUAAACCACUGGUCUAAUGUCAGCCUGGAUGAUUAUGCUGUAGCAGAAAGCUUUCUCUUGGAUGAUCAUGACAAAGAUGAUGCUGACCAUCGCCCAUACUACGUGGUGUUUCUUGAGAUUUCACCUACCCCUG